CCUGCCCCCGAAAUCCCCAACUCCCCCCGCUCAAAAUCCCUAAUUUCCCACAUCCAAGAAAAAAACCCAAAAGCUUAUUCAACUCUCUGUUUCUUCCCAACCGAAGCAAGGGUACUGAGUGGAACGGUUGUCAAUAGGAGGGCAUGAAACUUGCAUUAUUUUUCCCACUCUUAUUCAACUCUGAAAUAUUCCUUGUUUUGUGCAUAAUCUGUUUUUUUUUUGACACUUUUAGCUCUGAAUCUCUGAAUCUUUGACUAAAUGGAUGCGAUUAUCUCUAAUAAAGAUUACUUUCUUUUUUUCUUUAUUGAAGCGAAUAAAUUUUGGGAUUGUCAAUUUAUUAAAAGUUUCAUAUACCUAAGGAUCCAGUUAUAGAGUUUGCCGAAGCACUUAGGUUUGAUACUAACCUGGCUUUUACCGUCUUGCGGGAUAUUGCUUCAGGAAGAGAUCUUAAGAAGUUCCUCUAUGUAUGUUGUUACUCUCUAGGGCUACUUUGCAGUUCAUAAAUUUGAAUUUUGGAUUUUUACAGUUUGCUUCUUGUAAGUAAAAAUGAUGUUUAAUUUUUGUUUUUGGUUCCAAGGAAAAGAAAAAAAUUACAUCUUUUAGUGUUUAUAAUUAAUAUGUUUGAUUUAAAGCUUGCUCCUUGAAGCAUAUCUGCCAUGUGUGAUGGCUACUCUGUAGCUAUAUGCCUGCCUUGUUCUGAUUUUUUACCAUGGUUAGUGUUGUAUUCUAGUUCCUUAUUUUAUUUCAUGGAAAUGGAGCGCUUUAUGCAAAAUAGUCUCAAACAUUUUGUUCACUACUCAUCUUCUAAAAUGAUGAGUGUUUAUCCUUUUGCAGUAUCGGAGUUUAGUGGGAGCUUCUUCAGCAUCAGGAUUUAACUAACCAGUUUGCUAUAAGUGAUUAAAUCUUUGCAUGCCUUAUUUGUCUUUUAGCCUUUCUUUGAUAAUCCUUCCGACUUAUUGAUAAACGGAGCCUGAAGUCUGUAUAUUAGAAAUGCAGUCUACUGGAUUGACAAAGGAACCUGUUACCAAAGGUGAAAUUUCACAUGGUCGAAUUAUACAACAAGACACAAAGACUUCCAAGUCCUUCCAUAAAUGCAUCAGCUCCUUUCGAAAAGGUAAGUAUGAAGCAGAACCAUCAUAAUGAAAUAAGGUAAUAUUUGAUCUCUGCUCUUUGGGAGAAGCAAAAAUAGAGAAAACCAACAUGAUAUACUCUCAAAUUCAAACAUUUUAUUAUAAAUUACAUGUAAUUUAAUGCUUAAUGGUAAUCGUGAACUUUGUUAACUGUGUGUCUUUCAUUAUUGGUUCAUUCAAGCAAUAUAUGUGUGAACUUGGUAAAUGAUUCUUACAAAAAUUGAAGUGAAAUUUUCAUCCAAGUGAAAAAUAUCUAGAAAUUAAGUACUUAAUGAAAAAUGUAAACAAUUCAUGCAAGUAUGUGGCCACUGGACUUGCACCACAGCAUGGAUUUGGUUAAUCGAUUGAAUUAUUAUUUAUGUUUGUUAGUUGCAUUAUUCAACCUUCAAUUAGUAGCUGUCUGUAAGAUUUGAAAGGAAAAAAAGAAAGAAAGUAGUAGCUGUAAGCAGUAAGUAGGUAUGAAAAAGUAAAUUGUGUUUUAUUGGGCGACUGGCUCACAUGAUUAAAGAAAAACUUUUUUAUUUAAAAUUUUUUUUAUUUUAUAUGUUAAUAUUUUUUUAGUUUUAAUUUGUACUAUUUUAUAUGUUAAUUAUACAUAAUCAGUGAAGCUCAGUUCCUUUGUUUGAAUUCUUAUGCUUUAGGUAGAUAAGGGUUUCUCUCAUCGCUGCUGAAAACAUUUUGUACUUCAAAUAAUAAUAUUUCAUAUGAAAAUAAAAUAAAAUAAAAUAAAAACAAGAAUCGAAUAUCAAAAAAUUCGAACAUAGAAGAAGUUUAAUCAA